UUUAAUUGAAGAAAAACGUCAAUGUUGAGCAUUACUUUAAAAAUAUAGAAAUGAAUUAUUUAUUUAGGUUGACGAGUGGUUAAAUGUAGCGGUAAUAACGAAUUCAUUAUAGCCAAGUUACCUACAAAAUUUAUUUUGAAAAAUGGAAUAAGAAGCAAGAGUGUUGCUUAUUACGAUGAAAAAUUAACGGAAGUUUCUGAAAUUCAAGUUUAUUCAUUUUAUUAAAAUUCGUUAUAAAAAUAAUGAAAUAGAGAAAAUGUAGAAAUAAUGGAAGUCGAAAUAAGACAUUUGAUUCAAUCUUGUAAAUCUUAAAUUCUUAAUUUUUUAGUUAAAAAAAAAAAAAAGUCGCUCAUGAAGAAGAAAAGUGAAUCUAUUUUUGUUUAUUAGAAAUUGCGAUGGCAUCAAAUCAAUUGUACAAAAGCUUGAUGGAGGAAGAGGAAGAGCAGGGGAACGGGCAGUCUCGUAAUUUUCUCACAUUUGCAAUUUUACUCGCAAAAGUACGAAACUUGAAAGGCUCAUUAUAUCUCAAGAUUGGUUGAACUUGAACUUGAAGCAUAUUUUUAUGAGUUUUUAAAAGGAAUUAUACAUAUGGAAGAUUUAUUAUCAGCAAUUAAAAUUUGGAAAGCUGGAAUGGCGAAUUUUAGUGUUCGAAGUGAGGGUUCAACGUUUCAAGAUGAGUUUUGAAUGGGUACACAAGUUGAAAUUGAAAGCUGUACCAAUAAAAAUUUGAAAGUUUACUGUUCGGACUUCAUGAUGAUUUCUUGUUGAUGAUUCUUCUGCGUUCUGUCGUGCUUUGUGAAAAUUCUUUGAAUCUCGUCAUCUACAAUAAGUCAAUAACAUUCAAUAGUACCUACCUGUAUCGUUUUCAUUGAUGAAAUAUAGGCUCAUUAGAAAUGAGAGCUUUUUUGAUAGAUAAUCUAAGUUUUUGGUUUUUUUUUGUUUUUUUUUUAACAAUGUGAGAAUAAUUAUUAAACAGACGCCCUUAUUGGUAACCGGAAUGUUUCCUAAAAAAAUGUCAAGGAAAAAAUUCUUUCGGCAUUUUUAAUCGAAAGGGAUAGAGUUGAUAGUAAACUAGAUUCCUUUUCUGUUCAUAAAAUGACUGAUAUCGUUAAGCCAGAGCAUGGUAGCAUGAAGGAAAUCAAAAUACAGCAAUACUGGAUUUUGGUUCAUUUUGAUAAAUUAUUAUACGUCAGCGCCUCAGAUGUUGAUGAAAGGCGAUGGGAAUCAUUUUCGAGUAUUUGAACUUCUUUUUUGAGCAUUAAUUGUACCGAUUUUCCAUAGCGUUUUGUUUGUUCAGUUUUUUGUUUCAAAGGUUGCUUCUAGCAACGUGCGUUGAUUUGUUAGAAAUAGCUAAAACUACUGAGAAUUUUAGUGGAGCUAAUUUAACAUACAUAUUUUAUUCGUAAGUUAAUACUAAUCUUUUUUCAAGUUUGAAUGUGUAAAAAAUGAUGAUAAUGAUUUUUUUUAAAGGUCGGAUUCGCUAUGAUUAGCUUAUGAAGUUUCUAGUGCAAAAAAGAACCGUCAGUUACAAAAAUCAAUUAUAUAUAUUUUUUUCAACGAAGUUUUCGUGUAUUUUGAACAAAAUUAUCGAACUUUAUUCAAUACGUAAGUUGAUCUUUCAAUUUCGACAUCUUUUUUGAAAAGAACAUUAUCAUCAAUGUUACUCAAUUUUCAAUUCUUCAAUUUCAUAUCUAGCUUUAUGACGUUUAGGAUUCGACCACACACAAGAAUGAAGAAUCUGGAAUCACUUUUAAUUAUUUUUUUCUUCAAAUUUCACUGGGUUUUUUCCUCAGUUUCGCCAUGAAAAAUCCAAUAGUGUCAUCUUCAGUUGAAGUACCGAGUCCGAAGCGUUGGACUUUAUGUCUCUGUUCUUCAUUUAAACCACACUACAAUAGAAAUUUUGAUACAGAAUGAGUAUUUUAAUACCUUUGAGAGGAAUUAGAUACAAGAAAUUCUCAUUUUCUUACGUCAGGUAAACCAGGUCCACCAUAAUGUGGUUUCGAAGGAACCAAUUCCAUUUCAGGAUAUUUUUCUAAAAUCCAAGCUACAACGCAUUCGUUUUCUUCACAUAAAAUAGAACAUGUGCUAUAGACCAUGUGACCUCCAGGUUUUAAUAAACGCACUGCCUAAAAUUUAAAAAUACAUGAUAUUUUUUUUCUCAUUAAAUUUAAAUUAUGGAGUAAUUUAAAAUAUAAAAUAACUCACAUUACGAACAAAUUUCUUCUGUAAAGGAGGAAAAGUUUUCAAGGAUGUCUUAUCUACUCUGAUUCGAAACAUUGGUCGUUGACCUAAACCACUGCAAGGCACAUCUAGGAGGAUUUUAUCGAAGGUAUUUAUGGAAAAUGGAGGACCAUCGGUGAUUUCACGUUCAUCGUCGCUCACUAAUUUUGUAGAAUCUCCUUUGAAGGCUUUUACACAAUUUUGUAUUGACAAAUUGGUACAGUUUUUCACGAUGGUAUCAAUUUUCUUGGGGUUGUCAAUAGCUAUCAGUAUUCCCUAAAGUACAAUUAUUAGUUUUCAUUUUUUAGAUAUCAAUAUCUUUAUUAUUAACGCAGGAAAAUUAUUUACUUCGUCUUUCAUCAAAGCAGCUAUAUGGGUUGUUUUGUUUCCCGGAGCAGCACACAUGUCUAGUACAGUCUCACCCGGUUUAGGAUCUAAAGUUCUAACACAAACCAUAGAUGGGAAAUUUUGUAGAACUCCUAGCUGUUCGGGAGAAUUGAACAUCACAACACCGGAAACAGGA